UAAAAAAAUACUUUUUUUGGUUAAUGUAAUUUUUAUAUUUAUUUAUGUAAAAAUUUUUGCAAUUUUUAUAUUUAGUAAAAAUUUUAACGUUUUAAAUAUACCCUUAUUGUUAGGAUUCGUUAGGAAAAUAUAAUUAAUCAUUGUUAGGAUUCGUUAGAAAAAUAUAGUCAAUCAUUGAUAAAAUAUUUAAUCCUGAUUAGUGAAUGAGGUAGAAAGGAAGAAACCAUCAAUGAAAAUUGUUGGAAGGAUAUUUCUGUAUAAUUCUAACAGUUGAGAUAUUUGAGAGACAUAUUUAUAAUAACAAAAAUGUCAUUUUACUUAUCUUUCAAAAAAUAAAAAAUUCUUAAUUGGUGAUAAACCAGAUGGGCAAAUAUGAAUACCACUAGAAUUUUGUAUAGAUAAAAAUAAAAAAUUAAAUUUUGUAGGAAUAAAUUUGUUAUUUGAAAUAUUUAUAGGAAGUUGUAUGAAAUUAAUUCUUCUUUUUUAGUCUGUUUUCUCCCUAUAAUCACCAAGAAGAACAAGUGUAACGAUCCCGCCCACUAGCAAUAAUAACUCGUUGGGCCUAACCACCGGCACAAAAUGCUUAAGCUCAGUUAUUAUUACUAGUGUCUAAGUCUCUAUAUAUCCAAUUACAUUUAAUUCCUAUCCAAUGUGAGAUUAUUGGGGUAUGACAAAAAGUGUUACACUUUAAACAUUUUGCAAAUUUUCUACAAAUUUAUAAAUUAUCAUAAAUUUGAAUGACUAAAUUUAUUUCUUAGUUUUACACUUGUGAGUAUGCAUCAAUGUCGCGUAAUCAUCUAAGUACCAACAAAAUUCAUAAGAAUAUAUAUUCAUCUGCAUAACAUUAUUUCUCUAUGGAUCCGAGUCCGAGUCUCCGCCUAGUACUAUCCAUAACAUCACAAUAUUAAAAAGUAAUUUUCUUGUAAAUAUUCAUUUUUCUAUUUUUUUCUUACUUUUAAAAAUUUAUAUUUUAUUCAUUUUAAAUUUCAGAAAUAUUUUCGGAGAGUACGCAGAGAGUACAGCGUUAAUGGAGAGGGCAAAAUAAUCAAAUUGCUGUUCUUUCUUCUAUCUAAAAAAUUUAAUAUAUUUUUGUCAUUUGAAGGGUAUUUUUGGUAUAAAUGUCAAAAAAAUGGACGAAAUAAUGAUGAAGUCCUGACGGAAGGGAGCUAAAAGCAAUAAUUUGAAAUAUUAAGAGGGUAAAAUAUAAAUUUUGGAAAGUUAGAAAUGAAAAGUGAAAAAAAAGAGUAUUAAUAAAAAAAAAAUCUGUAAUUUAGCUAAAAAAUUUAGGCUAAAUUAUAAAUAAUCUCCCUGUCAAUAUCCGUUUUUUCACUUUUCUCUAUGUCAUUCAAAAUUCUACACUAUGCCCCUUUAUAAAAUAAAAAAUGUUCACAAACUGCCCUGAUCUUCUUCAGGGUGAGCCUGGACAGAGGGUGGGCGAGGGCGAGGGUGAGGCGUCGGAGGCGGGCGAGGGCGUGUGUGUAGGCAUGGACUGAGAGGUUGGGGACGACGAGGUGGCGCGGCCGAGGUCGGUGAGGAAGGAUGAGGGUUUCCUCAAUAUUUUGGAUAUAAAAAAUAGGAUAUAAAUAGAAUCCCAACGAAACACUGACAGUGGGGGCAAAGUGAAUUUUUUUUUUUUUUUAUCAGGGGGCAAAUAUAAAAAUAUAUAAACGUCGUUAUCUGAUAGCUUAAGUUUUUAUAGGAUAAUAGUUAGUUCUUUUAAUUUAACAUGAUAGUUUGUAAUAUU
rnacentral:lncRNA from 1 species